rnacentral:lncRNA from 1 species
ACUGACAUUGACCGUCAGGGUGAGCAGAUGAAAAGGUAAUGAGGGUAAGACCUCAUAGCUCUUAACCCGGGCCUGGGUGAGCUUCAAUCAAUGAAAAUGUGGGAGUCCAGAAUGGGGGACUCUACUCAAUUGACCGUCAGGGUGAGCAGAUGAAAAGGUAAUGAGGGUAAGACCUCAUAGCUCUUAACCCGGGCCUGGGUGAGCUUCAAUCAAUGAAAAUGUGGGAGUCCAGAAUGGGGGACUCUACUCCACUUGACUGACUCUAUAUACAAGAUUUCUGGUGUCUAUUCAAAAUGCAUCAGCACGUAGUGCGAGCAAGAUGAAAGACUUAACUGAAUAGCAGGGG